ACCACGACUCUCGACAAUGGAUAU
rnacentral:rRNA from 2 species